CCAGACUCCUACGGGAGGCAGCAGUGGGGAAUAUUGCACAAUGGGCGCAAGCCUGAUGCAGCCAUGCCGCGUGUGUGAAGAAGGCCUUCGGGUUGUAAAGCACUUUCAGUCAGGAGGAAAGGUUAGUAGUUAAUACCUGCUAGCUGUGACGUUACUGACAGAAGAAGCACCGGCUAACUCCGUGCCAGCAGCCGCGGUAAUACGGAGGGUGCGAGCGUUAAUCGGAAUUACUGGGCGUAAAGCGUACGCAGGCGGUUUGUUAAGCGAGAUGUGAAAGCCCCGGGCUCAACCUGGGAACUGCAUUUCGAACUGGCAAACUAGAGUGUGAUAGAGGGUGGUAGAAUUUCAGGUGUAGCGGUGAAAUGCGUAGAGAUCUGAAGGAAUACCGAUGGCGAAGGCAGCCACCUGGGUCAACACUGACGCUCAUGUACGAAAGCGUGGGGAGCAAACAGGAUUAGAUACCCUGGUAGUCCACGCCGUAAACGAUGUCUACUAGAAGCUCGGAACCUCGGUUCUGUUUUUCAAAGCUAACGCAUUAAGUAGACCGCCUGGGGAGUACGGCCGCAAGGUUAAAACUCAAAUGAAUUGACGGGGGCCCGCACAAGCGGUGGAGCAUGUGGUUUAAUUCGAUGCAACGCGAAGAACCUUACCUACACUUGACAUACAGAGAACUUACCAGAGAUGGUUUGGUGCCUUCGGGAACUCUGAUACAGGUGCUGCAUGGCUGUCGUCAGCUCGUGUUGUGAGAUGUUGGGUUAAGUCCCGCAACGAGCGCAACC
rnacentral:rRNA from 1 species